AUCGGAGCUACCAUGCAAGCCGAGCGGUAGGUUUCCUUCGGGAGACUGAGAGCGGCGCACGGGUGCGGAACACGUGUGCAACCUGCCUUUAUCAGGGGGAUAGCCUUUCGAAAGGAAGAUUAAUACCCCAUAAUAUUUUGAAUGGCAUCAUUUAAAAUUGAAAACUCCGGUGGAUAAAGAUGGGCACGCGCAGGAUUAGAUAGUUGGUAGGGUAACGGCCUACCAAGUCAACGAUCCUUAGGGGGCCUGAGAGGGUGAUCCCCCACACUGGUACUGAGACACGGACCAGACUCCUACGGGAGGCAGCAGUGAGGAAUAUUGGACAAUGGGUGAGAGCCUGAUCCAGCCAUCCCGCGUGAAGGACGACGGCCCUAUGGGUUGUAAACUUCUUUUGUAUAGGGAUAAACCUACUCUCGUGAGAGUAGCUGAAGGUACUAUACGAAUAAGCACCGGCUAACUCCGUGCCAGCAGCCGCGGUAAUACGGAGGGUGCAAGCGUUAUCCGGAUUUAUUGGGUUUAAAGGGUCCGUAGGCUGAUUUGUAAGUCAGUGGUGAAAUCUCACAGCUCAACUGUGAAACUGCCAUUGAUACUGCAAGUCUUGAGUGUUGUUGAAGUAGCUGGAAUAAGUAGUGUAGCGGUGAAAUGCAUAGAUAUUACUUAGAACACCAAUUGCGAAGGCAGGUUACUAAGCAACAACUGACGCUGAUGGACGAAAGCGUGGGGAGCGAACAGGAUUAGAUACCCUGGUAGUCCACGCCGUAAACGAUGCUAACUCGUUUUUGGGUUUUCGGAUUCAGAGACUAAGCGAAAGUGAUAAGUUAGCCACCUGGGGAGUACGGACGCAAGUCUG
rnacentral:rRNA from 1 species